rnacentral:rRNA from 1 species
UGGGGAAUAUUGGACAAUGGGCGAAAGCCUGAUCCAGCCAUGCCGCGUGUGUGAAGAAGGUCUUCGGAUUGUAAAGCACUUUAAGUUGGGAGGAAGGGCAUUUACCUAAUACGUAAGUGUUUUGACGUUACCGACAGAAUAAGCACCGGCUAACUCUGUGCCAGCAGCCGCGGUAAUACAGAGGGUGCAAGCGUUAAUCGGAAUUACUGGGCGUAAAGCGCGCGUAGGUGGUUUGUUAAGUUGGAUGUGAAAUCCCCGGGCUCAACCUGGGAACUGCAUUCAAAACUGUCAAGCUAGAGUAUGGUAGAGGGUGGUGGAAUUUCCUGUGUAGCGGUGAAAUGCGUAGAUAUAGGAAGGAACACCAGUGGCGAAGGCGACCACCUGGACUGAUACUGACACUGAGGUGCGAAAGCGUGGGGAGCAAACAG